rnacentral:rRNA from 1 species
AGUAAUACAUAAGUAACCUGCCCUAGACAGGGGGAUAACUAUUGGAAACGAUAGCUAAGACCGCAUAGGUACGGACACUGCAUGGUGACCGUAUUAAAAGUGCCUCAAAGCACUGGUAGAGGAUGGACUUAUGGCGCAUUAGCUGGUUGGCGGGGUAACGGCCCACCAAGGCGACGAUGCGUAGCCGACCUGAGAGGGUGACCGGCCACACUGGGACUGAGACACGGUCCAG